UUAUGAGGUGCAACCAAAACAGCUGUUAUAAAAUAGCAACCGGGAUAUUCUGGCAGGCUGUCGAGAAUUAGUUCUUGAAUACUGUUGUGGUUUUGAUCACUAAAAUGGCAGUGACUUUUGGACUCUCUUUGAGUGUUUCUUGGAUUUGUUGCCUGCUAAUUGGAGGGAUAACUUGUUUUACACUUAAAGGUAACGCUCAUGGGCAUCUUGCCUACACUGGACCUGAACCAACUGGAUCCUAUGCCCAAGCAAGUGUGGUGUCUGGUCCAAAUGCUAACGCUACUCGCCACAAUGCCACAGA